rnacentral:sRNA from 1 species
UUACAGGUGGUGUCGGUGCAGGCUGAAU